UACGGAGGGUGCAAGCGUUGUCCGGAUUUAUUGGGUUUAAAGGGUGCGUAGGCGGCCCGUUAAGUCAGUGGUGAAAGCCUCCAGCUCAACUGGAGAACUGCCAUUGAUACUGGCGGGCUUGAGUACAGACGAGGUUGGCGGAAUUGAUUGUGUAGCGGUGAAAUGCAUAGAUAUCAGGAGGAACACCGAUUGCGAUGGCAGCUCGCUGGGACGUUACUGACGCUGAGACGCGAAAGCGUGGGGAGCAAACAGG
rnacentral:rRNA from 1 species